CUGCCGUCAUUAACACCGUGGAUUAGGUCAGAUGAGAGCAUGUUUGCAGUCUUGGAUGGCAAAGGCAAAACGCUGAUGCUGAUUAUUCCAGAUCUUCUGGGCAUGGCCCAUUCCGUGCUUGACGUUCUUAAUCAGAGGGACGAGUGGUAGUUAUGUGGCGGGUGGGCCAGGGCCAUGGUUGUUUCUAAUCUGGCUGCCAGGCACAGACGGCACGUCUGCAGCACCUGCCAGCCCACGCACUGGCCUGCCUGGACAUCACAAGUGACCAGGGUUACUCGGCACUAUCAUAUCUCUCAAAGAAGAAACAACUCCUCCAACGGCAACAUCUGUGGGGCUGCUUUUGAACUAUCAGCAAUUCAUUUGAGCAAGAGCUGGGAGCAUUUUUCCCCUGGGCCUGAUCAUGAGGAAGUGUUUGCCCCUCUGGAGGACACAGCAACAAGGACCAUCUUGGAAGCAGAGACCUGGCCCUCACCAGACACCAUACCUGCCGGCACCUUGAUCUUGAACUUCUCAGCCUCCAGAAGUGUGAGAAAUACAUUUCUAUUAUUAUUAAAUUACUCAGGCUAAAUAAUUUUGUUAUAGCAGCAGGAACAGACCAAGACACCUCCCAAAUGUACUACUCACAUACAAAUCUUUGUCUCAG
rnacentral:lncRNA from 10 species